CAGUCGCCGCGGUAAUACAGAGGGUGCAAGCGUUAAUCGGAAUUACUGGGCGUAAAGCGCGCGUAGGUGGUUUGUUAAGUUUGAUGUGAAAGCCCCGGGCUCAACCUGGGAACUGCAUCCAAAACUGGCAAGCUAGAGUACGGUAGAGGGUGGUGGAAUUUCCUGUGUAGCGGUGAAAUGCGUAGAUAUAGGAAGGAACACCAGUGGCGAAGGCGACCACCUGGACUGAUACUGACACUGAGGUGCGAAAGCGUGGGGUGCAAACAGGAUUAGAUACCCCUGUAGUCCCUGUCUCUUAUAC
rnacentral:rRNA from 1 species